rnacentral:rRNA from 1 species
GACGAACGCUGGCGGCGUGCUUAACACAUGCAAGUCGAACGCUGAACCCGCUUCGGUGGGGGAUGAGUGGCGAACGGGUGAAUAACACGUGGGCAACCUGCCCCCGGCCCUGGGAUAACUCCAAGAAAUUGGGGCUAAUACCGUAUGUGACCGCUGGCCGAAUGGUCUGGUGGUGGAAAGGGUUUCCGGCUGGGGAUGGGCACGCGGCCUAUCAGCUUGUUGGUGGGGUAGUGGCCUACCAAGGCGACGACGGGUAGCCGGCCUGAGAGGGGGACCGGCCACACGGGUACUGAGACACGGCCCAGACUCCUACGGGAGGCAGCGGGGGGGAAUAUUGCGGAGUGGGCGGAAGCCUGACGCAGCGACUCCGCGUGGGGGAUGACGGCCUUCGGGUGAUGAACCUCUUUCAGCAGGGACGAAGCGCAAGUGACGGUACCUACAGAGGAAGCACCGGCCAACUACGUG